rnacentral:rRNA from 1 species
GACGAACGCUGGCGGCGUGCUUAACACAUGCAAGUCGAGCGGUAAGGCCCUUUCGGGGGUACACGAGCGGCGAACGGGUGAGUAACACGUGGGUGACCUGCCCUCAGCUCUGGGAUAAAGCCUGGGAAACCGGGUCUAAUACCGGAUAUGACUCCAUGACGCAUGUUGUGGGGUGAAAGCCUUGUGCGGCUGAGGAUGGGCCCGNGGCCUAUCAGCUUGUGUGGGUGAGGCCU